UGCGCAAUAACUUAAAAAAAGUUAGUGCUUAGUUCAGUGGCAGAAACAAUGCAAAGAAAGAAAUUAAAAAGUGAAGUGAAGCAGAUAGUAGAUCUUCUUGCAGAGCGUGAAGUGGCCGCUCCUACACGUCAGGAGUGUCAGGGCCAAGAAGAUACUUUCACUGCAAGCUCGUCCACUUCAAAUAUAUCGGAUGAUGAAUUGAGUGAGUCGAAAAGUGAUGGUGUUACAGAUUUCGAAAAAUCUGUAGAUUUGAGAAUUGAAUUAGCGGCAUGGUCUGUGCAAUUCAAUAUAUCAACGGCGGCUACCAAUAGUUUAUUAACAAUAUUGUGCAAACACGUGGGUGAUCUUCCACGGGAUUCAAGGACUUUAAAAUCCACUCCUAGGAGACCACCUGUUGAAAAUAUGGGACUAGGAGAAUACAUUCACUACGGUGUUGAGGACUCACUAACUGAUUUUUUAAUAAACAACUCCUAUAGUUUGAUGGAAAUCCAUCUUAACGUUAAUAUUGACGGCCUUCCACUUUCAAAAAGUUCCAAUUUGCAGACUUGGCCAAUAUUAAUAAAUGUCAAUGGAACGCCUAAUGUUAUGGUUGUAGGGGCUUAUUCCGGCAAUAGUAAACCAUUAUCUCCAAAUGAUUAUUUGCAAAGGUUUGUAAACGAGUUGCUGGAGCUGUUAGAAAAGGGGUUGGAUUACAAUGGCAGUCAUUAUUCCAUUCAUUUUCGUUCAUUUAUUUGCGAUGCGCCAGCAAGGUCCUAUAUUUUAGGAGUUAAAGGACACACUGGUUUCUCUAGUUGUAUCAAAUGCACGCAAAGAGGAGAAUCCCUUGGGCAUAGAAUGAUUUUUCGUAGUGAAAUUCAUAGCGCUAGAACAGAUUUAAGUUUCCGAUCCCGUUUGGACGUAAAUCAUCACAAACUUAUCGAGUCAACAGCUAUCGAAAAACUGCCCAUCGAUAUUGUAAACUCUUUUCCUUAUGAUUACAUGCAUGUUGUAUGCCUUGGUGUAACCAAAUCUUUGCUUCUUGGAUGGGUUAGGCAGAGAAAUAAAACUUAUUCUUUGAAAUCCUCGACUAUAAGUUUGUUGAAUUCUCGAUUAUUGUUUCUAAGUAAUCAGGUUCCAAAAGAAUUUGCUCGUCAUCCACGUGGCCUGAGCGAUAUUGAAAGGUUUAAGGCUACUGAGCUAAGGACAUUUCUGUUAUAUACAGGAAUUUUCGCUUUAGCUGAAGUCUUAGAUGUAGAAAGAUAUACGCAUUUCUUAAUGCUAAGCUUGGGCAUAAGAAUAUUAUUGAAUGAAAAGUCCUGUAAGGAAAACAAUGCGUGCGCAAAAAUACUCUUGAAUGAAUUUGUUAAAAAAGUUCCAAAUUUUUAUGAUGAUUCUUUUUUAACAUUCAACUAUCACUGCCUUACACACUUGCAUAGUGAUGCAUUGAACCAUGGAUGCUUAGAGUCUGUAAGUGCGUUCAAAUUCGAAAAUUUUUUGUCGAAACUCAAACGAAAAUGCAAUAAAAAAGAUCACAUUGCUGCACAAAUAUAUAACCGCUUGGUUGAGGAAAGUUUAUAUUCCUCUCAAUAUUCUGCAGCAAAAAUUACAAAUAAAAAAGCAGAUGAAAAUGGACCAGUGAAGUCAAUAAAUACAGAAUUCUUUUACUUAUCCCUUAAACGUCCAGAUAAUUUUUACAGCGUCCAAAAUAAAAUAUUUAUUCUCAAACGACUUUCAAAAAAAGACAGUGCUUUUGAAAUUAUUUCCAGAGAAGUUAUAAACUUAACAGACUUUUUUACGAUUCCUAUAAAAUCAUCCCAUUUUAAUAUUAAAUGUUGCGCCACAUUGCAGUUUUCUGAUUGUCAAUUUCAGCAUUCAGUACAUGAAAUAUCUCAGAAAAUCAUUGUCUUUAAUAAUUUCGAAUGUAAUAAAUUUAUAUUUAUACCUUUCAUUCACAUGUAGAUGGAUUUAAACAGCACAUUUCUUAGUUCGUCAGCAAUACUAGCAGAGGAGCUGAUAUCUAAAAAAGAACAAGAAAUUACACAAAAGCUUCUGAAACGCGUUCUCGA